CCGUAGAUGUUAUUUUCUGUGCAAAUGCAAGCGUCUAUUGAUAACGAAACGAUAAUUUGUCAACAAUGAGAAUCAGAUACUUGGCUUAAUAAUUUUCAUUUAAAAUGUCUAAUUUGGAUAUAAUUCGGAAUACAAAACGAAACUUAAAAGGUAUUGAAAACAACAACGUUCAAAAGAACAAUGUGGAUUUCAAUAGAAAGACUAUUUCCACCGACAAUCAGGAUUUCCGGUAUGACCACUGUUAUUUUGACGAUUUUUCUAUCGGUUCGUUGGUAAGCGUGACCACAUGUGACAACAGCGAUGCUAGUUGGAUAUAAAAUUGGUAGACGUGUCGUUGAACUCGACACAUUGACCGAAUCGCUUUUAGCAUGCAGUGCUUGUCAAGUGCCCAUGAAUUUACUUAACACUGUAGAAAGCAUGGAUUUCGGACAGGCAUGUGUUUUGGACAUACAGUUUAGCAAUUGUGGUGCAGUAAAUAAUGCGGCUACUGGACGGAAACAUGGCAGAGUUUAUGACAUGAUCACAAAGCUUGCAUUUGGGUAAAUCAAAAACUGGGUGUUUCACCUGGGACUUUCACAUCGAAACUGGCCCUUCUCCAUGACCUUCAGCACAAAAAAAGAAAGGCUAUAGCUGUUACUCGUGCAGCAAAACAGUGACGCAUAAGACUUAAAACUCGAACGGCAUUCAAAGGACAGUGCAAGAAGUACGAGCGGGACCAACAUACAGUUCAAACAUAGAGGACCAAGACGUUGAAGUUACAACUAUACCCCCACCUAUACCCAAGCCUGGUCCAGCAGGGCUAGACACUACUGGGAAGGAAUUUGUUUUCUUUGAUUUGGAAACAAGAGGGUUAGAGCACACUUCUCACAUAAUUCAGAUAGCUGCAGUGCAUUCAACUGGUCAAUUUUCAACAUAUGUGAUUCAUGAGAAGAAGAUUUCCUUGCAAGCGUCAGAAAUAACUGGAGUGACAGUUGUUAGCGACUCUAUGCUUGUCAAGAGACAAACAGUAACAGCUGUCCCCAUCAAAUCUGCAUUGACAAGUUUUAUAACAUUCUUACAGAAAUGUUCACCAAUUAUUUCAGUUGGGCAUAAGGCCACAAUUAAAAUAUUGUUGGUUUGCCCUUUACCGACCCUAAAUUUUACAGGUGGGUAGGUAGGUAGGAAAAUUAUUUUAUUUUAUAUGAGAAAUUAUAUUUGUAAUACACUAAUAGUCUAUGAAUAUUUAAAACUCUUUUAUUAAAGCACUGUUGCAGUGUACGAAGCCCUAUGUAGCUUAACAUUAUCUUGUUUGCUGUUUCUUGCAUAUAUUAAUAUCAAAUGCAUGCGUGUGUGUUAUUACAUCAAAUAUUUGUUCAUUAUAUGAUGUUAAUUGCUCAAAUGCAUUUGUAAUUAUUUAACAGCCAGACAGCUUUUAUUUUUAACUUAAACCUUUCCCUUAAAUUGGGCUUAAUUAGCAUGCAACAAGCAUUGAAGGAGUGUAGAAAGACAGCCCAAAGCCUUUAAUGGAAAAAUUCAGACAUGGCGAAAGACCGUCACAUUUUACAGGCCAGACUUGCCUACCAGGAGAAACAAUUCACAGGCCAUUUGAAAUUGUUACAGGCCUGAAUUUUAAGUGUUUGACCGGUUAGUGCAUAGUCUCAGCAUGGCAAAGUAAAUUCAUAAAAGGGCAAACUGAACAUUAUUAUAAAGCAUUAUUUCUUCUUGAAUGCUCUGAGCUUUAAUGAUUACAUACGUACAGCUCAGAGGGUCAAUAGCUGGGAGUUGUAUUAUUGCAACUAACAUAAGCAUGAAAACUUGAUUUGGGGAAAUAAAUUAAGGGUGUUAGUUUCAGUUUGUGGAUAUACUAACGCUUUAAACAUAUAUACUUGAGUGUUGUCGAUGUAUUAAGCUAAGAGACAUUAAUAAAUUAAAUAAGUUUACCUUUACAUAUCCAUUUCACUAACAUGCCAUUACAGUAAACUGUUAUGUGUGGCAAACAUAAUAAAACAGAAUAUGCACAUGAAUCUGAUUAAACACAGAUCCACUUGCAUACAAAUCAAAUCAUGUUUGUCUUUUAUUUUGCAUUUUCGAAAGAUAAUCCUGUAACUGUUAGAUGUAUUUUUCUUUGCGAGUAGACUGCAUUCCAAUUUUCAAACACUUCAUCACUUGUUCUGUGACAUUCAGUUCAUACAUUUCCAAAUAAAAGAGAGUUUUAUUUGUAUCUAAAACCUAUGCUCCAUCGUAGAAUGACACGCUCUUUUCAUUAAUCGAUACUAAUUAUAUGAUGUCCAUCGUUAAUUCGAUAGUCAUUUGUCCUCGCUGAGCAUCGUUAUUUCUUUUAAUUGUCCGCCAUCUUGGAUCACGUUAAAAACAUGUGUACAACGAACGUAAACUCGUAUAUGUCCGACUACUUUCGCGAACCAAUAGUUAAGUAUGAUGUCGUUUGGCUAUUUGAACGGAACACCGCCGAUCGCGAUGCUGGUUAUAGACGCUUGCAUUACUGUCUAUUCUGGGGCGUAUGAAAAUCCAACCAUCGGAGCGACCUAGAUCGGUCAGGGGCGAUAAUAAUAGACAGGGAUAUUAAUACGCGCAUGAAUAAAUAUUGCUUUCGGCUCUUUUAUCAUCGUCGAAAAAAAAGAAAAUAAAAAAAAUACGUUUUCAGAAAUCGCAAUAAAAAUUUUUGGGUCGGGGGGUAAAAAGUGGGUCGGUCGGUAAAGGGCAAACAAACUCAAUUUUAAUUUAGGCCUAAUAUAGAGUCUUUUGAUUGUAAAGUGUUGCUCCGUGCUAUCCAUACUUGUUGAAAAAUGUUUGAGUUUCAGCAAAAUAUUUGUGGCUUUUUAGAUACUUAAAAAUGUUAAAGGAAAUAUUACCAAAUAUGAAAUCAUAUAAGCGGGAACAUUUAGUUAAAGACGUCAUUGGUGAAUUAUACAUGGCACAUGGCGCUAUACAGGAUAUUUUAGCUUUACAAAAGUUAGUGAACUCUGUUCCUGUUGACCAAAAAUUGUUAACAAAUAUUCAUUCAGCUUUUACCGAGCAGUGUUAACAUACAAUGUGUAACUAAAUGUUGCUUCCAA